AAGUCCUGUGGUGUAGGCACAUCGGGUUGCAAACCCGAAGACGCGGUUUACCCCGCCGGGGCUUC
rnacentral:tRNA from 1 species